CAGUAGCCGCGGUAAUACGAAGGGGGCUAGCGUUGUUCGGAAUUACUGGGCGUAAAGCGCACGCAGGCGGCUCGAUAAAUUAGAAGUGAAAGCCUUGGGCUUAACCUGAGAAUUGCUUUUAAGACUGUCGAGCUAGAAUCCAGAAGAGGGUAGUGGAAUUCCGAGUGUAGAGGUGAAAUUCGUAGAUAUUCGGAAGAACACCAGUGGCGAAGGCGACUACCUGGUCUGGCAUUGACGCUCAUGUGCGAAAGCGUGGGGAGCAAACAGGAUUAGAUACCCCAGUAGUCCCUGUCUCUUAUAC
rnacentral:rRNA from 1 species